rnacentral:rRNA from 1 species
AGCGAACGCUGGCGGCAGGCCUAACACAUGCAAGUCGAACGGACCCUUCGGGGUUAGUGGCGGACGGGUGAGUAACACGUGGGAACGUGCCUUUAGGUUCGGAAUAGCUCCUGGAAACGGGUGGUAAUGCCGAAUGUGCCCUUCGGGGGAAAGAUUUAUCGCCUUUAGAGCGGCCCGCGGCUGAUUAGCUAGUUGGUGAGGUAAUGGCUCACCAAGGCGACGAUCAGUAGCUGGUCUGAGAGGAUGACCAGCCACAUUGGGACUGAGACACGGCCCAAACUCCUACGGGAGGCAGCAGUGGGGAAUCUUGCGCAAUGGGCGAAAGCCUGACGCAGCCAUGCCGCGUGGAUGAUGAAGGUCUUAGGAUUGUAAAAUCCUUUCACCGGUGAAGAUAAUGACUGUAGCCGGAGAAGAAGCCCCGGCUAACUUCGUGCCAGCAGCCGCCGUAACAC